GACCCGGUGGCGGAUGGUCCGCGUCUGCCUUCCUUUGCAGGGGAAAUGCUGUCAGUGGGAUGCAGAACACCCCGUUCGAUUCGGGGCUGGGUCA